AAAGUCGUAACAAGGUCUCCGUAGGUGAACCUGCGGAGGGAUCAUUCACAUGAUUAUCUUUUAUAAACAACCUGUGAACUUUUUUUACAAUUCGUGUUGUUGUACUUAGUACUUCUAACAUUGACAUCCGAUGAACAUUAGAUAGCUGGCUUGUAUUUAUACUUUCUCAGCUUGAAAUUUAUAUCGUAACACAUAUAAAAUUUCAACCAUAUAACAUAGAAAUAACUCUAUGCCCUGGAUAUCUUGGUUCUC
rnacentral:misc_RNA from 1 species